rnacentral:rRNA from 1 species
CACACCAUGAAAGUCGGCUGUACCAGAAGUCGCUGCGCUAACCGUAAGGGGGCAGGCGCCCAAGGUAUGGUCAAUGAUUGGGGUG